AUGCCCUACGACGGGACUGCGACGACCUCGUUCCCAUCAGCGCCGCCGCCAUCCCAGGGCGUCCACAUCCAGCAGAUCAAGUCCCCGCCGUCGCCGUCACCGCUUCCGUCUUGGAUCGCUACCCGCCACGUGUCGGCGGCGGUGAGGCUGCAGGCUGCUGUGCGUGGCCUCCUAGCGCGUCGGCGUGUGCGGGAGAUGCAUGGUCUGCAGCUGCCGCUCCUCCAAGUUGCCCUUUGUUGUGCAAAGGACCUCGACCUCGUCCUGCUGCGUCGGGGAUCUUGGGCAUGCGGUUUCCCCCACGGGAGGCGGGCAUGUUGUUUUCCCCGCGGGCAGUGA
rnacentral:rRNA from 1 species